AGGACGAACGCUGGCGGCGUGCUUAACACAUGCAAGUCGAGCGGAAAGGCCCUUCGGGGUACUCGAGCGGCGAACGGGUGAGUAACACGUGAGCAACCUGCCCUUAGCUCUGGGAUAGCUCCGGGAAACCGGAAUUAAUACCGGAUACGACCUAGGCCGACAUCGGCCAUGGUGGAAAGUUUUUCGGCUAGGGAUGGACUCGCGGCCUAUCAGCUAGUUGGUGGGGUAAAGGCCUACCAAGGCGACGACGGGUAGCCGGCCUGAGAGGGCGACCGGCCACACUGGGACUGAGACACGGCCCAGACUCCUACGGGAGGCAGCAGUGGGGAAUCUUGCGCAAUGGGCGAAAGCCUGACGCAGCGACGCCGCGUGGGGGAUGAAGGCCUUCGGGUUGUAAACCCCUUUCAGCAGGGACGAAGCGAAAGUGACGGUACCUGCAGAAGAAGCGCGGCUAACUACGUGCCAGCAGCCGC
rnacentral:rRNA from 1 species